ACGAACGCUGGCGGCGUGGUUUAGGCAUGCAAGUCGAGCGCGAAAACCCCGCAAGGGGUCGUAGAGCGGCGUAAGGGUGAGUAAUGCAUAGGUAACCUACCCCUCGAACCGGGAUAGCCACGGGAAACUGUGGGUAAUACCGGAUGGCCCCCGGGGACGGCAUCGUCUCCGAGGUAAACGGUCGGCUUUCGGGCCCUCUGUCGAGGGAGGGGCUUAUGUCCUAUUAACUAGUUGGUAGGGUGACGGCCUACCAAGGCUGUGAUGGGUAGCCGGACUGAGAGGUUGGCCGGCCACACUGGGACUGAGACACUGCCCAGACUCCUACGGGAGGCUGCAGUCGAGAAUCUUCCGCAAUGGGCGCAAGCCUGACGGGGCGACGCCGCGUGCAUGAAGAAGGCCUUCGGGUUGUAAAGUGCUGUCGCUUGGUACGAAUGUCACGGUCUGAAUAGGGCUCGUGAUUGACGUUACCUUGGGAGGAAGCUCUUGCUAACUCUGUGCCAGCAGCAGCGGUAAUACAGAGAGAGCUAGCGUUGUUCGGAAUCACUGGGCACAAAGCGCACGUAGGCGGGCUCGUAAGUCGGUAGUGAAAUCCUCCGGCUCAACCGGAGAACUGCUUCCGAUACUGCGGGUCUUGAGGACGGGAGGGGAGAGUGGAACUUCCAGUGGAGCGGUGAAAUGCGUAGAUAUUGGAAGGAACACCGGUGGCGAAAGCGACUCUCUGGUCCGUCCCUGACGCUGAGGUGCGAAAGCUAGGGUAGCAAACGGGAUUAGAUACCCCGGUAGUCCUAGCCCUAAACGAUGGGCACUAAGUAGGGGAGGUUCCGAUGCCUUCCUUGCCGGAGCAAAUGUAUUAAGUGCCCCGCCUGGGGAGUAUGGUCGCAAGGCUAAAACUCAAAGGAAUUGACGGGGGCUCACACAAGCGGUGGAGCAUGUGGUUCAAUUCGAAGCAACGCAAAAAACCUUACCUGGGUUUGACAUGUCGGUGGUAGGAAACCGAAAGGGGCCCGACCCCGCAAGGGGAGCCGACACAGGUGCUGCAUGGCUGUCGUCAGCUCGUGUCGUGAGAUGUUGGGUUAAGUCCCGCAACGAGCGCAACCCUCGCCCCUAGUUGCCAACGGGUCAUGCCGGGAACUCUAGGGGGACUGCCCCGGUUAACGGGGAGGAAGGUGGGGAUGACGUCAAGUCAUCAUGGCCUUUAUGUCCAGGGCUACACACGUGCUACAAUGGCCGGUACAAAGGGUUGCAAACGCGCGAGCGGAAGCUAAUCCCAAAAAGCCGGUCCCAGUUGGGAUCGCAGUCUGCAACUCGACUGCGUGAACGCGGAAUCGCUAGUAAUCGCGAAUCAGCAGGUCGCGGUGAUACGUUCCCGGUCCUACUCACCGC
rnacentral:rRNA from 1 species